rnacentral:rRNA from 1 species
GAUGAACGCUAGCGGCAGGCUUAAUACAUGCAAGUCGUGGGGCAGCAGGACUGUAGCAAUACAGUUGCUGGCGACCGGCAAACGGGUGCGGCACACGUACGCAACUUACCCUGAACUGGGGGAUAGCCCGGGGAAACCCGGAUUAAUACCCCGUAAUAUAAUGGAGUGGCAUCACUUUAUUAUUAAAGCUCCGGCGGUUCGGGAUGGGCGUGCGGCUGAUUAGGUAGUUGGUUGAGGUAACGGCUCACCAAGCCUACGAUCAGUAACUGGUGUGAGAGCACGACCAGUCACACGGGGACUGAGACCCGGGUCCGACGCCUACGGGAGGCAGCAGUAAGGAAUAUGAGGCAAUGGAGGCAACUCUGACCCAGCCAUGCCGCGUGGAGGAUGAAGGGCCUCUGGGUUGUAAUCUUCUUUUAUAGGGGACGAAACCUGUGUAUGCUCACGCAGUUGACGGUACCCUAGGAAUAAGCACCGGCUAACUCCUU